AACGAACGCUGGCGGCAUGCCUAACACAUGCAAGUCGAACGAGAUCUUCGGGUCUAGUGGCGCACGGGUGCGUAACGCGUGGGAAUCUGCCCUUUGGUUCGGAAUAACAGUUGGAAACGACUGCUAAUACCGGAUGAUGACGAAAGUCCAAAGAUUUAUCGCCAGAGGAUGAGCCCGCGUAGGAUUAGCUAGUUGGUGUGGUAAAGGCGCACCAAGGCGACGAUCCUUAGCUGGUCUGAGAGGAUGAUCAGCCACGCUGGGACUGAGACACGACCCAUACCACUACGGGGGGAAGCCGGGGGGGAUGUUGGACCAUGGGCGAGAGCCUGAUCCAGCAAUGCCGCGUGAGUGAUGAAGGCCUUGGGGUUGUAACGCUCUUUUACCGGGGAUGAUAAUGACAGUACCGAGAGAAUAAGCGCCGGCUAACUCCGUGCCAGCCGCCGCCGUAA
rnacentral:rRNA from 1 species